GACUGUCCUGCAUCCCGGUGCUGAACCAUGGUAUUUCCCAGUUUUGCAAGACCUACAUCCCACCAGAUGCUUGCAGGACAACAUGAAGGUCUGGAUCAUGGAUCCCCCUGACACAGAGAGCUCCGUGGAGUCACUGGCUCGGUUCUGUGUCACAGUGUGGGUUUUUCGGAGGAGGGACCCGGCUGACCGUCCUAGGUCAGCCCAAGGCUGCCCCCUCGGUCACUCUCUUCCCGCCCUCCUCUGAGGAGCUUCAAGCCAACAAGGCCACACUAGUGUGUCUGAUCAGUGACUUCUACCCGGGAGCCGUGGAAGUGGCCUGGAAGGCAGAUGGCAGCGCUGUCAACGCAGGAGUGGAGACCACCAAACCCUCCAAACAGAGCAACAACAAGUACGCGGCCAGCAGCUACCUGAGCCUGACGCCCGACCAGUGGAAGUCCCGCAAGAGCUACAGCUGCCAGGUCACGCACGAAGGGAGCACCGUGGAGAAGACAGUGGCCCCUGCAGAAU